CCUACGGGGGGCAGCAGUGAGGAAUAUUGGUCAAUGGCCGGAAGGCUGAACCAGCCAAGCCGCGUGAGGGAUGAAGGCGCUGAGCGUCGCAAACCUCUUUUGCCGGGGGACAAAAGGCCGGACUCGUCCGGUCCUGGGGGUACCCGGGGAAAAAGCAUCGGCUAACUCCGGACCAGCAGCCGCGGUAAUACGGAGGAUGCGAGCGUUAUCCGGAUUUAUUGGGUUUAAAGGGUGCGAAGGCGGGCCUUUAAGCCGGCGGUAAAAUCGCGCGGCUCAACCGCGACCCGCAGUUGAAACUGGGCGCCUUGAGUUCACGAGAGGUAGGCGGAAUUCGUGGUGUAGCGGUGAAAUGCAUAGAUAUCACGAGGAACCCCGAUUGCGAAGGCAGCCUGCCGGGGUGCGACUGACGCUGAGGCUCGAAGGUGCGGGUAUCAAACAGGAUUAGAUACCCUGGUAGUC
rnacentral:rRNA from 1 species